rnacentral:rRNA from 1 species
ACGGGUACGGGGAUCAGGUUCGAUUCCGGAGAGGGAGCCUGAGAAACGGCUACCACUUCCAAGGAAGGCAGCAGGCGCGCAAAUUACCCAAUCCAGACAUUGGGAGGUAGUAACGAGAAAUAUCAAGGUAAGCCAAUUGGUUUACUAUUGAAAUGAACGUAAUGUAAAUACUUUGAUGAGUAACAACUGGAGGGCAAGUCUGGUGCCAGCAGCCGCGGUAAUUCCAGCUCCAGUAGUGUAUUUCAAAAUUGUUGCGUUUAAAACGCUCGUAGUCAGAUGACAAAAAUGAUUUAUAUUUGUGUUUUUUAAAAUAUUUAGUGUAAAUUAUUUUUUAUUUGCAAGAACUAAUCGUGAACUUUUAUGUUUAGGGUUAGUCACUUGCAAGGCGUGCCUUGAAUAAAGCAAAGUGCUCAAAGCAAGCGUAACGCUAGAAUGUAAUAGCAUGGAACGAACAGUGUUGAUUCUGAUUUAGUUAGUUGGUUUAAUUGUGCAAAUUGUUAUAAUUUACAUUAUUUUAAUAAUGUACUAAAUCGGGUCCUGGUUAAAAGGGACACUUGAGGAUGUUAGUAUUUAGUGGCGAGAGGUGAAAUUCUUAGACCCACUAAGGACUUACUAUUGCGAAAGCAUUCAUCAAGAGUGUUUUCAUUGAUCAAGAACGAAAGUUGGAGUUUCGAAGACGAUCAGAUACCGUCCUAGUUCCAUACAGUAAACUAUGCCAACACGGGAUCAGUUCGAAGCUGUAUUCA